UUUCAGCAGUACUAAAGUGCUUAUAGUGCAGGUAGUGUUUUUCUCCUAUCUACUGCAAUAUAAGCACUUGAAGUACUUCUAACU
rnacentral:pre_miRNA from 11 species